rnacentral:tRNA from 1 species
CCCCCGGUAGCUCAGCGGUGGAGCGCCCGGCUGUAGACCGGGAGGGCGUGGGUUCAAAUCCCACCCGGGGGA